rnacentral:rRNA from 1 species
AACGCGAAGAACCUUACCCGGGCUUGAACUACUCGUGGUAGGCCGCUAGAAACAGUGGCCGACCCGCAAGGGAGCGAGCAGAGGUGCUGCAUGGUUGUCGUCAGCUCGUGUCGUGAGAUGUUGGGUUAAGUCCCGCAACGAGCGCAACCCCUACUCGAUGUUGCUAAUCCCGCAAGGGAUGCACUCUUCGAGAACUGCCUUCGAUAAGAAGGAGGAAGGUGGGGACGACGUCAAAUCCUCAUGGCCCUUAUGUCCGGGGCUACACACGUGCUACAAUGGCCGGUACAACGGGAAGCAAUACCGUAAGGUGGAGCCAAACCCUGAAAGCCGGCCCCAGUUCAGAUUGUGGGCUGCAACUCGCCCACAUGAAGGCGGAAUCGCUAGUAAUCGCGAAUCAGCAGGUCGCGGUGAAUACGUUCCCGGGCCUUGUA